UACGAAGGGGGCUAGCGUUGCUCGGAAUCACUGGGCGUAAAGCGUGCGCAGGCGGCGCGUUAAGACAGGUGUGAAAGCCCCGAGCUUAACUUGGGAAUUGCGCUUGUGACUGGCGUGCUGGAGUGUGGCAGAGGGAGGUGGAAUUCCACGUGUAGCAGUGAAAUGCGUAGAGAUGUGGAGGAACACCGAUGGCGAAGGCAGCCUCCUGGGCCAGCACUGACGCUCAUGCACGAAAGCGUGGGGAGCGAACAGG
rnacentral:rRNA from 1 species